CCUACGGGGGGCAGCAGUCGAGAAUCAUUCACAAUGGGGGAAACCCUGAUGGUGCGACGCCGCGUGGGGGAAUGAAGGUCUUCGGAUUGUAAACCCCUGUCAUGUGGGAGCAAAUUAAAAAGAUAGUACCACAAGAGGAAGAGCCGGCAAACUCUGUGCCAGCAGCCGCGUUAAACAGAGGUCUCAAGCGUUGUUCGGAACCACUGGGCGUAAAGCGUGCGUAGGCGGUUUCGUAAGUCGUGUGUGAAAGGCGCGGGCUCAACCCGCGGACGGCACAUGAUACUGCGAGACUAGAGUAAUGGAGGGGGAACCGGAAUUCUCGGUGUAGCAGUGAAAUGCGUAGAUAUCGAGAGGAACACUCGUGGCGAAGGCGGGUUCCUGGACAGUAACUGACGCUGAGGCACGAAGGCCAGGGGAGCGAAAGGGAUUAGAUACCCUUGUAGUC
rnacentral:rRNA from 1 species